UACGGAGGGUGCAAGCGUUAAUCGGAAUUACUGGGCGUAAAGCGUGCGCAGGCGGUUUGUUAAGUCUGUUGUGAAAUCCCCGAGCUCAACUUGGGAAUUGCAAUGGAUACUGGCAGGCUGGAGUAUGGUAGAGGAAGGUGGAAUUCCCGGUGUAGCAGUGAAAUGCGUAGAGAUCGGGAGGAACACCAGUGGCGAAGGCGGCCUUCUGGACCAAUACUGACGCUCAUGCACGAAAAGCGUGGGGGAGCAAACAGG
rnacentral:rRNA from 1 species